rnacentral:tRNA from 1 species
GCUGAAAUUGGCAAAAUCUGGAUUCGUAAUGCGAAGGUCGCAGGUUCGACUCCUGUUUCCGGCACCA